UUCUACUGCUACAGUGGGUGGCUUUGUACCACAUCUUUAGUACUUUAAUCCCCAUAAGACUAUAACUAUCAUUAUAUUUAUAUUCCUAACUUGAUGAUAGAAAGGAUUGUGGUGCUCUUGAUACUAAUAUAGACCGGCAUUGCUUUUACAGCAGCAGAUAUUGGCUUUAGUAUCAGUUCUUUUAGGUCGUUACACGAUACUGCAAAUUUGUAAGAGAGAAAACUGCCAUGGGCAGAAGGUGUUGUGAAGUCUGUCCUCACGCAAACCAGGCAUGCAAGGUAUGAAAACAAACACACAUGUCCUAAUUAUGCAUUUCAAUGUCAGGUUUUCCAUGCAUGGAAAUAUGAAAAGGAAUACCAAAUAGCACUUUGUCCCUCUAGCCUAUGUUAUGUUAGAAAGGCUGCAUGUACAAGUAAAAGGAAACAGAGGAAGUACAUGAUAUAUUCCAUCGACGGUGAACUUCAAGCAAAACUAGUUUGACACUUUGACUCUCCUUCGGACAAAUGAUUUUAGAUUUAUCGGCAUGGACUAGAUUCUAGAAUCUACAUACAUAUCAUGGCAAACAAAGCCAGGUCAUGAUCAUCUAUCAUGAAAAUUAUUAUAUGUUAAAAAAAUUGCAGUCAUGUCUCUGUCUAAAUGAGAUUGUUGAUAUUAAUUUGUCAUCUGAAGUACGUUUUAAAGGAUUUGUAAUGUCUAGAUUUUAAUGUUUCAGGUCAAUUGCAAAUCUAUGUGUUAGAACUAUCAAAGCAGUUAUCUGUUUAUUCCAGUGAACUGGAUUCUAGUUGGGGCCCUGGUAUGUAUCACUAUUUGUGGCUAAUUAAUGUACUUGCAAAACCGACUCAGCUACUGACCACUCAAUAGUUGAUGUGCUUCUAUCCAUUGCAGAUUGCUCAGCCGUGGCCUGGGGCCAUAUGAAUAAAGCUCUUUCCUGGUGAUGCAUUAUGCACAUGAUUGAAAUAGGGUCUACAGAAUAAAUUCCCCCCAUGAUAUGCAUUGUUUGAAAGAUGGGAGUCAAGUUUUUGGUUUUUCUUGUUCUUUAGAUAGAAAGAGAAAAUCAAUAAAUACGGUCAAAUAGUAUUGUCUUUUUUUCUGCAAGAAAAAUGGUGGUUGCUGGCCUACAUAUGAUCCAACCUGCAUUUACAUGGAUGGACAUGUUUCCUUUGGCCCCACUUCAUUUUGCACUUUGAUAAUAUGCCUCAUAUUGUGUGGGCAUAUGAUCAAAUUUGCCAUGAUAACUGGAGCUACCAAUGUAAUUUGCAGUAAUAAUAUGCCUAUGUUUGAACUGUUAAAUCAGUACCGUGCGAUUUUAAGAGUUGUCAACAGUUAUGCUGUCACAUUGGUUGAACAACUUACAUCCCUCUUGUUUACAUGAGUUCUAGUCGCGUUAAGGCGUUAACUUUCUGCUCAGGUAAAGCCUGUGCUGACAUGUAGUUCUCUUA
rnacentral:lncRNA from 1 species